CUGUCGGCCAUGUUUCGUUUCAAAUUAAUAUAAUUUGAAACUUCCGUUCCCGAUUGUUCGCGAUAGAGAGAGGAGAGCAGAGAGGAAAGAAGAGAGAACCCAGCUCACAUCCAUGCUCGAACUGCGAUUUCUCCACCUCAGAGACAGAGAUCGAUAAGCUUCACAAAGUUCUGGUUUCGAAUAUCUUUUGGAACUCGCAUAGGGAGAGGAGAGAAGAAGAAACAGGAGCUCGCCCCCUUGUGAAAUCUCCUCUGCAGAGCAGGUAUUGGGACAAAUUUUAGGGUUUUUCUAGACCACCUGUCGUAUAGCUCAUACAGAGAGGUAACGUCUUCUUCUUCUCUUCUCGAUCUUGUAUAGCCUCU